GCUGAUCAGCCAUCCCGCGUGAGGACGACGGCCCUAUGGGUUGUAAACUUCUUUUGUAUAGGGAUAAACCUACUCUCGUGAGAGUAGCUGAAGGUACUAUACGAAUAAGCACCGGCUAACUCCGUGCCAGCAGCCGCGGUAAU
rnacentral:rRNA from 1 species